rnacentral:rRNA from 1 species
AACGAACGCUGGCGGCAGGCCUAACACAUGCAAGUCGAGCGCGCCCUUCGGGGUGAGCGGCGGACGGGUGAGUAACGCGUGGGAACGUGCCCUUUUCUACGGAAUAGCCUCGGGAAACUGAGAGUAAUACCGUAUACGCCCUUUGGGGGAAAGAUUUAUCGGAAAAGGAUCGGCCCGCGUUGGAUUAGGUAGUUGGUGGGGUAAUGGCCUACCAAGCCGACGAUCCAUAGCUGGUUUGAGAGGAUGAUCAGCCACACUGGGACUGAGACACGGCCCAGACUCCUACGGGAGGCAGCAGUGGGAAUCUUAGACAAUGGGGGCAACCCUGAUCUAGCCAUGCCGCGUGAGUGAUGAAGGCCUUAGGGUUGUAAAGCUCUUUCAGCUGGGAAGAUAAUGACGGUACCAGCAGAAGAAGCCCCGGCUAACUCCGUG